rnacentral:rRNA from 1 species
CGCCUUGCCAGCCCGCUACAGAAACUCAAAGGAAUUGACGGGGGCCCGCACAAGCGGUGGAGCAUGUGGUUUAAUUCGAUGAUACGCGAGGAACCUUACCUGGGCUCAAAUGUAUGUUGACGUAUUCUGAAAGGGAUACUUCUUCGGACAAUAUACAAGGUGCUGCAUGGUUGUCGUCAGCCCGUGCCGUGAGGUGUCGGGUUAAGUCCCAUAACGAGCGCAACCCCUAUCAUUAGUUGCCAUCAGGUCAAGCUGGGGACUCUAAUGAAACUGCCUACGCAAGUAGUGAGGAAGGUGGGGAUGACGUCAAAUCAGCACGGCCCUUACGUCCAGGGCUACACACGUGCUACAAUGGCCGGUACAAAGGGCAGCUACCUGGUGACAGGAUGCUAAUCUCAAAAGCCGGUCUCAGUUCGGAUCGGAGUCUGCAACCCGACUCCGUGAAGUUGGAUUCGCUAGUAAUCGCGCAUCAGCCAUGGCGCGGUGAAUACGUUCCCGGGCCUU